GGUUCGCCGCCCGUGACGUUGCGAGAAGUCCACUGAACCUUAUCAUUUAGAGGAAGGAGAAGUCGUAACAAGGUUUCCGUAGGUGAACCUGCGGAAGGAUCAUUG
rnacentral:rRNA from 1 species